UACGGAGGGUGCAAGCGUUAUCCGGCUUUACUGGGUUUACAGGGUGCGUAGGCGGAUUUGUAAGUCCGAGGUGACCUCUCCGCGCUUAACUCGGAACCUGCCUUGGAUACUAUAAGUCUUGAAUGACGUUGAGGUUAGCGGAAUAUGUCAUGUAGCGGUGAAAUGCUUAGAUAUGACAUAGAACAUCGAUUGCGAAGGCAGCUAACUAAGCGUAUAUUGACGCUGAUGCACGAAAGCGUGGGGAUCAAACAGG
rnacentral:rRNA from 1 species